rnacentral:rRNA from 1 species
GACGAACCGUCCUAACGUUGUUCGGAAUCACUGGGCUUAAAGGGCGCGUAGGCGGGUCAGCAAGUCCGGGGUGAAAUCUUUCGGCUUAACCGGAAAAGUGCCUUGGAUACUGCUGGUCUAGAGGGAGGUAGGGGCAUGUGGAACUUCCGGUGGAGCGGUGAAAUGCGUUGAUAUCGGAAGGAACGCCAGUGGCGAAAGCGACGUGCUGGAUCUCUUCUGACGCUGAGGCGCGAAAGCCAGGGGAGCAAACGGG